rnacentral:rRNA from 1 species
UACGAAGGGGGCUAGCGUUGCUCGGAAUUACUGGGCGUAAAGGGCGCGUAGGCGGACAGUUUAGUCAGAGGUAAAAGCCCAGGGCUCAACCUUGGAACUGCCUUUGAUACUGGCGACCUUGAGUCCGGGAGAGGUGAGUGGAACUGCGAGUGUAGAGGUGAAAUUCGUAGAUAUUCGCAAGAACACCAGUGGCGAAGGCGGCUCACUGGCCCGGUACUGACGCUGAGGUGCGAAAGCGUGGGGAGCAAACAGG